rnacentral:rRNA from 1 species
AUGCGGCGGCCUGCUAGCAAGUUGCUGCCAGGGCCAGGGCUAUCGGGUAGGAGAGCGACCGCAACCGCCGGUUCCUCACAGCUGCUCGCCUCGGUUUUCCAGAGCCUCACCGGUGAGCCCGUGUAUGGCACCAGCGCCACAGUAUUGGGCGCGUUGGGAAGAUCUUGGCGGCCCUUACCGUGUUCUUCCCGCUCAACGAGGAGGCCUGACGCUACAUUGCCUACCCGACAUCUCUCAAGACCCUCGUCUCGGUGCUCUCCCACGGUAACCUUCCCGCGUGGGCCAGCGCCGCCAUCGUCCUCCGCGAGCUCGCCUCGUCCCCCGACCGGCACACCGUCGACGUCAUCUCGAGGACGCCCGGCGUGUGCAGCAAGCUCGUCGGCCUCCUCAGGAGCCGCCCGCUUCGCCGAGCUAGGGUCAGUGCUCGUCGUUGUGGAGCUCGUCCUGGACGCUGACAAGAGGACGAGGGAGAAGGCACUGGCCGUGCUGGACGGCGUCCUGUGCCAACACACCGGCCUUGAGUCCGUGCGUGCAUGUCCGACAUGGCCACGUGGUUCGCCGUCUCUGCGCUCUGGCGCCUCUGCCGUGCCGCGGACACUAGCGCCGGCGCGUGCUGCGAUGAGGCGCUGCGUGUGGGCACCUCCGAGAAGCUACUCCAGGUGGGCUGCGGCGGCGUGA